rnacentral:rRNA from 1 species
GGGCACGACACCGGAGAGGGAGCCUGAGAAACGGCUACCACAUCCAAGGAUGGCAGCAGGCGCGCAAAUUACCCAAUCCCGACACGGGGAGGUAGUGACAAUAAAUAACAAUACGGGGUUCUUUAGGAUCUCGUAAUUGGAAUGAGUACAAUUUAAAUCUCUUAACGAGGAACAAUUGGAGGGCAAGUCUGGUGCCAGCAGCCGCGGUAAUUCCAGCUCCAAUAGCGUAUAUUAAAGUUGUUGCAGUUAAAAAGCUCGUAGUUGAAUUUCGGGGUUAGUAGGUUGGUCAUGCCUCUGGUAUGUACUGGUCUCACUGAUUCCUCCUUCCUUAUGAACCGUAAUGCCAUUAAUUUGGUGUUGCGGGGAAUUUGGACUGUUACUUUGAAAAAAUUAGAGUGUUUAAAGCAAGCUAACGCUUGAAUACAUUAGCAUGGAAUAAUGAAAUAGGACGUUCGAUCCUAUUUUGUUGGUUUCUAGGAUUGACGUAAUGAUUAAUAGGGAUAGUUGGGGGCAUUAGUAUUCAAUUGUCAGAGGUGAAAUUCUUGGAUUUAUUGAAGACUAA